rnacentral:lncRNA from 1 species
CAGGUUCACUUUCACGUUCUUCUCAGGUUCAUUUCUAUGUUCUGCAAUCAAUGUAUAAGGAAGGUACGGUCAUUAUCUCCAUGACACAAACGGAUGAAUCAACAAAUGCCACCACGUUCCUUCUGGGGAAAGGCACUGACCCGACAGAUCAGGCCCAUCACCAGGCAUAAAGUGAGAGGGUGCCAUGCUGAGUGUCCUCUAUUAUACCACCAGAAGCAGGCAGGGUGUUUCUGGAAGGAGGGCCCCCUGGAGGAGGAGAGGCACAGAGGGAACUGAAGUCUGGGUCGCUGGAGAAAACAGCCCCUUCAACUCUAAAGGAGUAGCUGGGCCUGAAGCUGGGGGGUUCCAGGAGCCAAGAUCCUCAAACUCACCCAUGAGUUUGAGUUUGACAGGGAUGGCAGUGGGAACCUUAGGGCUGCGUGCUAGAAGCUGAUGGGUUCCAGAGACCGAGUCACCCAGAAAUCCCAUCUAAUUCUAAGAUUUGAUGAGUCCUAUAUCAGGAGGAGACAAGACCCGAGAAACUAUCACUGUGGUCACCUCCAGGGUGGCUGGGGACGGUCAGAGAGAAGGGGGACUGGUUUUACUUUUGUCUUUUCACCCAUGCGC